rnacentral:rRNA from 1 species
AACGAACGGUGGCGGCAUGCCUAACACAUGCAAGUCGAACGAGACCUUCGGGUCUAGUGGCGCACGGGUGCGUAACGCGUGGGAACCUGCCCUUAGGUUCGGAAUAACUCCCCGAAAGGGGUGCUAAUACCGGAUAAUGUCUUCGGACCAAAGAUUUAUCGCCUUUGGAUGGGCCCGCGUUGGAUUAGCUAGUUGGUAGGGUAAAAGCCUACCAAGGCGACGAUCCAUAGCUGGUCUGAGAGGAUGAUCAGCCACACUGGGACUGAGACACGGCCCAGACUCCUACGGGAGGCAGCAGUGGGGAAUAUUGGACAAUGGGCGAAAGCCUGAUCCAGCAAUGCCGCGUGAGUGAUGAAGGCCUUAGGGUUGUAAAGCUCUUUUACCCGGGAUGAUAAUGACAGUACCGGGAGAAUAAGCUCCGGCUAACUCCGUG